CCUCCCAACCCUUCCCUUGGUAUUCUGAUGCUUGUUCGAGCUGAACUGGUAAAUUCUCUGCCGUCCUUCUUGGCCGAUCCUGUGGCCGCUUCACCACCGCUCUCCGCUGCCUCCUUUUCGUGCUGGAUCUUGAGAACCUGAGCUCACCUUAUUGGGAGAGAGAACCCAUGGCGUUGUUGUCGUUGCCAUGGAGGAGGGGCAACAGAGCCAAAACUCGUCCUUUUUCGUAAUCCUCGAGCAAUGGUAACACAAAAGGCACAGAACAGACCCUCUAUCUCUUACAAGAACACCAGAAACGAAGGAUGCCUAAGGCCACUCGAUUUCUCCCUCUCUACAAUCCAAAUUCCUUGUAUUGGUCUUCCUUCUCCUUCCAGGAUAAUGUCUCUUUGGAAGCUUCUCUUCCAGGGAAUCUUCCCCUCUUCUCGCGUAAAGGUUGCUCCUUUCCCUCGAUCUCAUCGUUUUUACUCUAUCAGCAGAAAUUUGAGGGGGUUAGGGCAAGGCUUUGGGGGAGUUCGCUUGGGGUUCAGACGCUUCAAAUCCUUGGCAUCGUUGGCCAGGAGCAGCGGAGCUCAAUCACCGGACGGAAAGGAUAUCUGUCUGCUCCUCCUCCAAUUAUUACGAGGCGAUGGCAGAAUUGUCUUCUCAUGCCCCCUCGGCAACCCGUUAUCCUCUCUCGCGCCGUAGUGCCUCUCUCAUCUUCUUGUGGUCGGUUUAAGAUUUGGAUUCGAGAUGGCGUCGAUCUCGGCAGCGUGGAUCCUCCCGAACCCUUGGAGUUCGCCCAUCCCGAGAGCCCCCGAUCGCCUUACGCAUCACUUCAAGGGGUGCGGGAAGUCGAGGAUUGGGGGAGGAUUCAUCGGGGAAGCAGAUGGGAUCCCCGACGCAGAGGUCUCCAGCUCUCUUGAAGCAAAUAGAUCAAUAGUUACAAAAGGAACUUUUGAAAGAAGAAAACUACUUUUGGUCUCCUCUAUUGGGUUCACCACUGGUGCUUUCCAAAAUGCUCUAGAUAAUGGAGUGGCAGUAGCAGCAGAAUUUGCUGAUAUGCCAGCACUCCGUGGAAAGGAUUAUGGAAAGACAAAAAUGCGCUAUCCAGAUUAUAAUGAGACACAAUCCGGUCUUCAAUACAAGGAUUUGCGAGUUGGUGAUGGUCCCACACCGAAAACUGGGGACACAGUGGUGGUUGACUGGGAUGGUUAUACGAUAGGAUACUAUGGUCGCAUCUUUGAAGCUCGAAAUAAGACAAAGGGUGGUUCAUUUGAGGGAGAUGAUAAAGAUUUUUUCAAGUUCAAGGUUGGUUCAAGACAGGUUAUACCAGCUUUUGAGGAAGCCAUUGUUGGCAUGGCAGAGGGAGGUAUCAGGAGCAAUGCAGGAUAAUAGUGCCUCCGGAUUUGGGAUAUCCAGAUAGUGACUUCAACAAACUUGGUCCCAGACCAACGACUUUUUCGGGCCAAAGAGCUCUUGAUUUUGUCCUGAGGAACCAGGGCUUGAUCGACAAAACUCUACUGUUCGAUAUAGAGCUUCUUAAAAUCGUCAGGAACUAAGAUUUAUCGGG